rfam:Felis catus isolate Cinnamon breed Abyssinian chromosome D1, whole genome shotgun sequence.
GCCUGGGUGGCUCAGUCAGUUAAGUGUCUGACUUUGACUCAGGUCAUGAUCUCACAUUUCGUGAGUUCAAGCCCCGCCUCAGGCU